rnacentral:snRNA from 1 species
AGGCGAGGGGGACCUGGCCAUGACAUCUGUCAUCCCACUGGUCCCAGGGUUUUCCCAGCUGAUCUGGCCGGGGUCCCCUCCCUCCCCCAUCACCCCGUGUGCUUCCCACCUGCAGCCGCGUGCUUGGUCCAGGAGGAGGACCGUUCUCCAGGAGGGUGUGUGAGCAGCUGUGCUCCCCCACCAAAGCCCCCUUGCUGAGGACAGCAGGGGAGCAGAGCUGCCCCGGCUGACUGUUCAUCUCCUGGG